UACGUAGGGCGCAAGCGUUGUCCGGAAUUAUUGGGCGUAAAGAGCUCGUAGGCGGCCUGUUGCGUCCGCUGUGAAAUCCCGGGGCUCAACCUCGGGCUUGCAGUGGGUACGGGCAGGCUAGAGUGCGGUAGGGGAGAAUGGAACUCCUGGUGUAGCGGUGGAAUGCGCAGAUAUCAGGAAGAACACCGAUGGCGAAGGCAGUUCUCUGGGCCGUAACUGACGCUGAGGAGCGAAAGCGUGGGGAGCGAACAGG
rnacentral:rRNA from 1 species